rnacentral:lncRNA from 1 species
CCGGGUACCUCCACACCUAGCGAGGGUGCUUGGUAGUCGGAGGAUCAAUGGAGGGAAUGAAAGAGGGUGGCUAUCCUCUUCUUCUUCUUCUCGUUUUUUUGAGGGAGGAUGGGGGUUGUUGAUGUGGGAAGCAUUAAAGAAGGCGCUGGAAGGGUUGCAAGCUAUUGAAGAAGGUCUAGUAGCUGUCAAUAAUGGGAAUCCUCAAAAAUAAUAUUGCCACCUGUUAAGUGCUCCCUGGAAGGGGCCAGGUUAAAGGAGUUAGGAUCAGUGGGUACUAUAGUUUGACGAUCAACAGAACCCAACGAUGGAACUAAGUCUAUCUGGGGUGUAGCAUCGUGUGCCCCUGGCUAGGGAAGUGAAAGAUCACUGCAUACGAUGUGAUAAUCUACAGUUGGGAAAGGGUCUCUUCCUGCACCUGUGAUGUAAUGUGGUCUAGCAGGUCGUAGCAGCCUGUUCGUGAGGUGUUGGUCCUUCUGUUGUUGAGAAAUACCUAGAAAGGCAUUUUGUCGAACGUUUUUAAUGCAGUAAAUGGUUCCUCAGGGAAUUAGGGAUUAAACUUACCUCCAUAAUUUCAACUAGAAUUUGAAUUUGUCCCAAAGGAAGGUAAUCCAACGAGCACCACAGAGUAGAUAUGAAGUUUUCGCACCUAUGUCCAAUCUGCUUGAAGGUCUAGGGGUGCCAUGCAUAGAGCGGAAUAUUUGAAGUUGUGAUCCAAAUCUUUUGUUUUCUGAGGAUUCCAAUGUUUGUUGGCCAAGGUAAAAGGCUCAGUCUAGCUCGUUUAAAAUGGGGGUCACAUGAGGCUAAAGUUGUGCUAGCCAAGGUAUCUUAUGGGAAUGAGAAGAGGACGGGCCCCUCAGAGAGUUUCCAACACCCCAGGUCUGGUUCAUUCCAGAGUUCUUUGCACCACUUUUUUAUUCCUCUAAUGUCGUUCCUCCGAGAGUGAAACACCCCUAUGAGUGAAUGCUGGAGGGAUGUCAACCUUUUAGCAAGGAAAUCUCCAUUAAGGACCUGGGGAUGGGUAUGAUUGAGGGAUAGGGGUUCAAAGGAGAGGAAAGAGGGCUUAGGAGUGGAGAGAACUUGUUGGGGCUUGUCUGAUCCAGUUAAUGUAUCGGUGAUAAAGGAUGGGAUAAGGUGGAACUGGCUUGGUUGAGUUUUUCAGAGGUUGUGGCGAGCUAAGGUAUGGGUAGAAUUGCUAAGAAACCCAAGGGAUAGAGUGCAAUUUAGCUCCAUGAUUGCUUGAUGACUAGGUAUGAUUGCUGGUUGCAGGAGGCAAAAAGAGAGGCUUAGAGGGGGAAAGGAAGGCCUUGUUGCUAGUUGCAGAAGGGGAGCAUGGUGAUGGUUCCAAUAUUUCAAGAUCUUGCUUUGACUCUUACGAUUGAAUAUGCCACUACCUGUAAUCCCCUCUUCUGGGAUACAGAUGAUCGCACUUCCUAUUGAACCCCUUGAAGUGAAAAGCAUAAAGAAAGCUAUGGGCUAGGUCAAUGAUAUGCUUCCUCCAGAGAAUCUCAAAGGCCUUCCAGAUGAAUGAUUGAAGCACAAAAUUGAAAAUGCACAAGGGAGACCCUCCUGAUGGGCGAUUUCUCAUUAUCGAGUCAUGAGCAAGAAUUUAGUUGUCACAGAGAGGAAAAUAUCUGUUGUGUAGAUUUCAAUCAAAAAUGGAGCAUGAGCAAAAGCCAACACUAAAUGAUUUUGGAAAGAACAGCACUUGGAUUUUUCCCCAAAACUCAUUUAAGGGCCAUUUGGAUACCUGGAAAUAUAUUGUCUGUGAAAUAUAUUACUGGCGUAAUACAUUACUACGCAAUAUAUUACCUGUAAAUGGAUUGUUACUGUUUGAGUAGUAUUUAGAUGCAACCUGGGAAAUACAUUGUUAUUGUUUGGCUAUGUCUGGAAGAAAUAUAGGAAAUGCAUUACCAAUAUUUUUACCAGUACGUGCCUAUAAACUAUCGUUUCUUUCUUUUUUGCCACAAAAUUCCACUAAAAUGUAGAAUUAUCAUUUCCUUCUUUUUUGUCACAAAAUUCCACUAAAAUACUAAAUUAAAAUCAUCAUCACACCAUUCCAAAAAGAUUUCUAAUAAUAAUAUUAUCACCAUUCCAAAAAGAUUUUCUAAUAAUAAUUUGUACCAUUUUACAGUCAUGACACUAUUUCCUAGUUAUUUUAAGUGCCUUUGGCACUUAUAUGCAAUCACAUGUUUUCUAACAUGACAUUGGUUUCAACAUGAUAAGUCAUUAGAACAAUAUGAUUGGAAUAAGAUGAUUUUAUUAUGCUAAGCCCUAUUUUUAUUUAUUUUUUAUAGAAGUCUUUCAAAUGUCUCUCUAUAUAAUUUCAAAUAAACAAUAAAUUUAUGAUACUAAAUUCAAAAUCUGUAGGGUACGAGUUAAAAAAUGGGAAGAAGUUUGAUCAGUAAUCUAGAAGGUUUGGUAAUUGCAGUAUAAAAUUUUGAGGUAUUGGAGGAAACUAAAGAAGUAUGUUAAUUCAAUUGAGAAUUUAGUAAUCUCUAAUGAGGAUUAUAUUGUGUGAAACUUUUUAUUAUGAUUGUGUUGUGUAAUUUAUCAUUGAUUUUACUUUUUUUUGUUUUUUUUUUUUUUUUUUUUUUUUUUUUUUUUUUGUUUAUAUUGACUACCGNNNNNNNNNNNNNNNNNNNNGGUAGCCAAGGUAUCUUAUGGGAAUGAGAAGAGGACGGGCCCCUCAGAGAGUUUCCAACACCCCAGGUCUGGUUCAUUCCAGAGUUCUUUGCACCACUUUUUUAUUCCUCUAAUGUCGUUCCUCCGAGAGUGAAACACCCCUAUGAGUGAAUGCAGGAGGGAUGUCAACCUUUUAGCAAGGAAAUCUCCAUUAAGGACCUGGGGAUGGGUAUGAUUGAGGGAUAGGGGUUCAAAGGAGAGGAAAGAGGGCUUAAGAGUGGAGAGAACUUGUUGGGGCUUGUCUGAUCCAGUUAAUGUAUCGGUGAUAAAGGAAGGGAUAAGGUGGAACUGGCUUGGUUGAGUUUUUCAGAGGUUGUGGCAAGCUAAGGUAUGGGUAGAAUUGCUAAGAAACCCAAGGGAUAGAGUGCAAUUUAGCUCCAUGAUUGCUUGAUGACUGGGUAUGAUUGCUGGUUGCAGGAGGCAAAAAGAGAGGCUUAGAGGGGGAAAGGAAGGCCUUGUUGCUAGUUGCAGAAGGGGAGCAUGGUGAUGGUUCCAAUAUUUCAAGAUCUUGCUUUGACUCUUAGGAUUGAAUAUGCCACUACCUGUAAUCCCCUCUUCUGGGAUACAGAUGAUCGCACUUCCUAUUGAACCCCUUGAAGUGAAAAGCAUAAAGAAAGCUAUGGGCUAGGUCAAUGAUAUGCUUCCUCCAGAGAAUCUCAAAGGCCUUCCAGAUGAAUGAUUGAAGCACAAAAUUGAAAAUGCAUAAGGGAGACCCUCCUGAUGGGCGAUUUCUCAUUAUCGAGUCAUGAGCAAGAAUUUAGUUGUCACAGAGAGGAAAAUAUCUGUUGUGUAGAUUUCAAUCAAAAAUGGAGCAUGAGCAAAAGCCAACACUAAAUGAUUUUGGAAAGAACAGCACUUGGAUUUUUCCCCAAAACUCAUUUAGGGGCCAUUUGGAUACCUGGAAAUAUAUUGUCUGUGAAAUAUAUUACUGGCGUAAUACAUUACUACGCAAUAUAUUACCUGUAAAUGGAUUGUUACUGUUUGAGUAGUAUUUAGAUGCAACCUGGGAAAUACAUUGUUAUUGUUUGGCUAUGUCUGGAAGAAAUAUAGGAAAUGCAUUACCAAUAUUUUACUAGUACGUGCCUAUAAACUAUCGUUUCUUUCUUUUUUGCCACAAAAUUCCACUAAAAUGCAGAAUUAUCAUUUCCUUCUUUUUUGUCACAAAAUUCCACUAAAAUACUAAAUUAAAAUCAUCACACCAUUCCAAAAAGAUUUCUAAUAAUAAUAUUAUCACCAUUCCAAAAAGAUUUUCUAAUAAUAAUUUGUACCAUUUUACAGUCAUGACACUAUUUCCUAUUUAUUUUAAGUGCCUUUGGCACUUAUAUGCAAUCACAUGUUUUCUAACAUGACAUUGGUUUCAACAUGAUAAGUCAUUAGAACAAUAUGAUUGGAAUAACAUGAUUUUAUUAUGCUAAGCCCUAUUUUUAUUUAUUUUUUAUAGAAGUCUUUCAAAUGUCUCUCUA